CACAUGGUUAAUUGUAUUGUUAAAAACAAUAUCGCUCUGAGAAAAAUGGCGCCAUGUUUGAACACUGCCGACAGAGUGUUUCGGGUCAUUUAUCACAACAAAGGAUCAAAGGGUUGUUUUCAUUACUAUUAUUUUGCCAUGGACUGGUAUACCG